rnacentral:rRNA from 1 species
AAUAUUGCUACAAUGGGCGCAAGCCUGAUGCAGCCAUGCCGCGUGUAUUGAAGAAGGCCUUCGGGUUGUAAAGUACUUUCAGCAGUGAGGAAGGUGGGUAUGUUAAUAGCAUAUUCAUUUGACGUUAGCUGCAGAAGAAGCACCGGCUAACUCCGUGCCAGCAGCCGCGGUAAUACGGAGGGUGCGAGCGUUAAUCGGAAUUACUGGGCGUAAAGCGCAUGCAGGUGGUUUGUUAAGUCAGAUGUGAAAGCCCGGGGCUCAACCUCGGAAUUGCAUUUGAAAACUGGCAAACUAGAGUACUGUAGAGGGGGUAGAAUUUCAGGUGUAGCGGUGAAAUGCGUAGAGAUCUGAAGGAAUACCGGUGGCGAAGGCGGCCCCCUGGACCAGAUACUGACACUCAGAUGCGAAAGCGUGGGGAGCAAACAGGAUUAGAUACCCUGGUAG